UCUAAUAAAGUUUUGAUAUGUUUUUAAUAUAGCAACUGCUGGUAGAAAAAAAGGACAUGCACAUACAGAACUAUCACUACCCAGAAUCGAAACUGUAUGAGAGGAACAGCUUUCAUUAGGAAGCAAAGCCAUGAAUGGCAACACAUGAUGUCAAGUUCAAAACCAGAGAGAUAUCAGCUGGCAAGUACAUGAUUCGCGUCUCUGAUGGGGCAAAGGAUAGAUACAUGUGGAAUCUCUUCUUAAAAAUGAUUUAUCGCACUAUUAUCAUUAUCUAAGGUGCAUCAGAUGAGCAAAUGCUGUUCCUUUUCAUUGAAUUAUUGCUUGCGUUUAAUGGUUUGUAUUUCAUUAAUUUUUCUAGAGACCAUUGACAAUCAUAUAUAUAGUUAUAGUUGAAUUUGCUUGGAAAGUAGAGUGACGAAAGGCAAUUCCAAAGCGUACAGUUGCUCAGAGGUUGCGGGACUCGUAUUCAUCUUGCUAUACAAGAUAAUAAUUGCAGUCAGAUUUGAAUUAGGGGCCCGAGAUUGAUACAUAUACUACCAGCUAGGUCCCAAGAGACCAAAACUCCUUGAAAUUGACUGCAGAUUAACCUCUGGCCACUUAAAGAAACUUCAUACCUGACAAAACAAAGGUCAAGUCUCAAUUAGUUAUCUUUUGAUCAAUUCCUCAUUUUCCAUUUGCCUUGUCCCGCUCAUUGAUUGAAGCUAUCAUACUCAGUAAUGAGACAAAUGACUGGAUGCAGCUAUGAAAAGAAGGCAAUAGGUAGAGGGCAGCGUUUUCAGAUAUUCAAGGGCAACCUGGAAUUCGUUAAUAACUCAACAAGAGGAAGAAACCAAACGUAUACGCUGAGCACUAACGAAUCAGGAAAGAAUACCUACCGUUACAUAUGCAUGAUAAAAUCAGGAUAGAGAGG
rnacentral:lncRNA from 1 species